rnacentral:lncRNA from 1 species
UUCCAUUCCUAAAGAUUUAUGGCCUAUCUUUAUAGUUUAUCUGAUUUUGGUACUCCUGAGCCUUUUGAUGGCCCUUGAUAUGCUUCUUUUGUUGUGGAUUUUCUUGAGUUAGUGGACUGAGAUGAUUAUUCUGAUACAGCCUGUUGCACACAAAAAUUAACCCUACCAAUAUAGUGGUGUUUUUUCCUUACCAAAUAGUGUAUUAGUAAUCUUGGCUAUGUGUGACAUUAACUGCCAAACAUUUUAGCCUACAUGGCAACCUUACAUUAUUUUUUUCUUCACUGGAAAGAAAUUCAUCAAAUGCAAAUUUUGCCUUUAUCACUUUCUCUGUUACUGAAUUAACCAGUGAGCCCUUAGAGGACUCUGCUCUUUCAAAAACAUUUUAAGGUUUGCACAAACCCAGCCUCUUUUCCAAUAUUCUACACACUUACAGGCUCUAAAGAGCCCUAGCUAGAAAUAUAGUACUUGAACUAUUCACCACCUUAGGGAUUUCUGGUGCAUCCUGUGUAAUUGAAACCUGAGUUUAACGCCUGGUGCUUUUGACUAGGGGUGGUCAGUGUCCUAUAAAUGCAAACACAGCAUUCCUGUACCUCCAAAAGUACAAUGCAGUGGCAUUUUAGUGGAUGGGCAGUUUCAACACUUGUGCCUUGGGGUGCUUACUGAAGCUUUAUGGAUGAAACCACUGGUUGUUUUCUCCAUAUCCUGAAGUCCUUUAAAUGUUUCUCUGUAGGAGACAAGUGGGUUUUACAAUUGUGAGAUCUUAGCUGCCUUCAGGCUUCGAAACUAUCAAGCCUCUUAACUGCCUGUGCUACUGGAAAUACUUUGAGGGAAAUAUCAGUCUCACAGUGACACUGUCAUACAGCUUCUCUACAAUCCUUUGAGCCACAGCUGAAAAGAGCCUCUCUUUGUGAUCCUUACAGAUACCACUGAGAAUUAUAAUAAAGGUGGUGGUAAAAACAACUUACAGAGCCUUUCCCAUAUCUUAGUUGCAGCAAAUUUUGUCGUUUCAUUUUUGAGAUCUAACACACAUUUUACACCAUCAAAAUGUGAUUUACAUUAAUCAGUAUGCUAAUGAGUAUGUAAAACAUUCUUUUGCACUGAUGUAUUUUAAACCUCCCUCCAUUAAAAGCAUAACAGCUACACCAAAAA